UACAGAGACUGCAAGCGUUAUUCGGAUUCACUGGGCGUAAAGGGUGCGCAGGCGGUUGGGUGUGUCAGAUGUGAAAUCCCGAGGCUCAACCUCGGAACUGCGUCUGAAACUACUCGACUAGAGUACUGGAGAGGGUAACGGAAUUCACGGUGUAGCAGUGAAAUGCGUAGAUAUCGUGAGGAAUACCAGAGGCGAAGGCGGCUACCUGGACAAUUGCUGACGCUCAGGCACGAAAGCGUGGGGAGCAAAAGGG
rnacentral:rRNA from 1 species